AACGAACGCUGGCGGCAGGCCUAACACAUGCAAGUCGAACGCACCGCAAGGUGAGUGGCGCACGGGUGAGUAACACGUGGGAAUGUAUCCUUUGGUUCGGAAUAACGUCUGGAAAUGGACGCUAAUACCGGAUGAGCCCUUAGGGGGAAAGAUUUAUCGCCGAAGGAGCAGCCCGCGUCUGAUUAGGUAGUUGGUGGGGUAAAGGCCUACCAAGCCGACGAUCAGUAGCUGGUCUGAGAGGAUGAUCAGCCACACUGGGACUGAGACACGGCCCAGACUCCUACGGGAGGCAGCAGUGGGGAAUAUUGGACAAUGGGCGCAAGCCUGAUCCAGCCAUGCCGCGUGAGUGAUGAAGGCCUUCGGGUUGUAAAGCUCUUUCGCACACGACGAUGAUGACGGUAGUGUGAGAAGAAGCCCCGGCUAACUUCGUGCCAGCAGCCGCCGUAA
rnacentral:rRNA from 1 species